UAGAGAGAGAAAUUACCAACCUGCAAACUGCAAACCACGUUCUGAUUCCUCCCCAUUCUUCAACAGAGCUGUCUCCAAAGGCCUCACCGUUAGCGGCUUAGCACUGCGAGUGAAAUAUUGUCAUCUGUUUGGUUGCUCAGGGCCUCACCGUUAGCGGCUCCAACUCCACAUCCAGGCACCGGUCAAAUUCGAACUCCCACCAUCUCAUUGCAGCUCCAAAAAGGGCAGCAACGCCUUGCCCUGCAACUCCAGCUCCAUCACCGACCACCUUCUUCAGCCUCCACCAACUUGUUAAUCAGAAGUCGCCGUGUGACCCAUGCUUGACACACUGCUGCUUGCACUGGUGGCCCUUGUGCCAUGAGCACAUGGAGAUGAAGGGAUAAACCCCAAAGAUGUUGGGUUUAGUCACACUACAGUAUAGCACUGGUGAAUUGAAGCUGCGGCUCCACUGUUAUUAACAGCCGUUAGCGGCGAUUGUUAGUCGCUGGGAGAAGGUGAAAUCUAUUGCUGAGCUACCUCAACUCUCUUCAGAACACAAGGCAGCCAGCAACCACUGAAAGCCAAUUGCCGUAUACACUCAAAAUGUUGCAGAGUGCAGGAAGUUAUGGAUUUUCUGAGUUCUGAAAGCGAAUUGAGAGUGCUGCAAAUCAGAAAUGAUGUUACACGAGGAUGUGUCUUCGGGGCCAAGGAAGCGAAGGACAACACAUUUUGUUGUGUAGUUAUUUUGUAAAGGCUGGUAGUAUUGCAUUCGUUUAUUCUUUUUCCUCAUUAUUGCAAUAAGAAGCCCAAGCUGAAGAGAAAUAACAGGUUGAGUGAUAUGAAUUAGGAUUUGUUGUUGUAGGUUCUUCUUGGUUGUGUCUCAUUUUUUGUCAUCCAUUUCAAAUGAGCCCAAAAAGAAGGGACAAGAAAUGGGAGUGUAAAGGAAAACUAGAACAAGAAAGAACACGUUCUAGUUUGGUUUUGUUGUUUCUUUGUUUUAGUUUGUAGUUAGAAGUUGAAAUCUGGUUAUAAGAAUUGUGAGUGUAAAGGAUAAGUGGCUUAAAUUCACCUGUUAUAUUUUUUUUGGAA